AACUCCGGGAAACUGGGGCUAAUCCCUGAUAGGUGAGAACUCCUGGAAUGGAUUCUCGCUCAAAGGACGUUUAGACCAUGCUUCUAAGCGUCGCCCAAGGAGGGGGCCGCGACCGAUCAGGUUGUUGGUGAGGUAACGGCUCACCAAGCCUUUAACCGGUACGGGCCGUGAGAGCGGAAUCCCGGAGAUGGGCACUGAGACAAGGGCCCAGGCCCUACGGGGCGCAGCAGUCGCGAAAACUCCGCAAUACACGAAAGUGUGACGGGGCCAUCCCUAGUGCCAUCCGCUGAGGAUGGCUUUUCCCCAGUGUAUAAAGCUGGGGGAAUAAGGAGAGGGCAAGCCUGGUGUCAGCC
rnacentral:rRNA from 1 species